rnacentral:rRNA from 1 species
GUCUACGGCCAGGCCACCCUGAACAAGCCUGAUUCCGUCUGAUCUUGGAAGUUAAGCAUGGUCUGGUUAGUACUGGGAUGGGAGACCACCUAGAAGACCAGUGCUGUAAGCU